AGAAAAUUCACAUUAACUUAACCAAUAGAAUAGAAUAAAAUAAAUUAUGUUCUUGCAACAUGAGUGAAUAUUGUCCAGCAAAAACAAAGGCAAACAAAUAUACACAAGCUAAUACAUGUUAUUUAAAUGCCUGUAUUUCCAGAAUGAUGAUGAUACAAGUGAGCAAGGCAACUCUGCGACUGCAACAAUAGUAGCAGUAAAAGAACACAGUAAGAAACAAGGAAAGCAAUUAUCAUAUACAUGAUCUGUUCAUGAUGUGUUGUUAAGUGGGAACUCAUUGUACAUGCCAUCUGCAGUGCUAUUUGAGGCCUUCUAUUGAUAUGUAGUCAUUCUUUCAUAAUAAAAGGCCUCCUUCUAGCAGCUUACGAAGAGCAACAACCACCAUUAGAUCUGGAAGGAGGUGCUUGGUUUUCCUGUUUCUGCUUCAAAAUAUUUCUCUUCACUGCAGUUGAUCCUUCUUCCAAAAGACUAGGAACUUCCAUUAUCUUGAGUGCUAGUUCUUCAAAGCAUUUUUCCACAUUUUGUCUAGUUUUAGCACUACAUUCAAGAAAUGUACAUCCAUGCUCUUUUGCAAGAGCCAUUCCCUCUUCUCUACUUACAACCCCUUCAGACUCUAUAUCGACUUUAUUUCCAACAAGCAUCUUCACACAGUCCUUAUUUGUGCGGUAAAGGUCAACUUCUUUAGCCCAUACAUCUGACAAGUUUGUAAAGGUUUCUCUCCGUGUCACAUCAUAAACAAGAAUGAUUCCUUGGGCAUUUCUAUAGUAAGAGCUUGUUAGUGCUCUGAAUCUUUCUUGCCCAGCAGUAUC
rnacentral:misc_RNA from 1 species